rnacentral:lncRNA from 1 species
GAAUUCCCAGCACAUUUCAAGGAUCAGGUGUCCACAUCCGAAAUGAACCCAGCCCUUGGUGUUCAAAAUCACUUUUAGGAGAAGUAGAGCUUUUUCUUUCAUGUAUCUGGACCAGUAGUUCACUUACUCUGGAAGUCAGAGGCCCUAUGGACUGCCCAGCCCAGCUGCUGUGGAAUGUGGCAGAGAAAGAGGGUGAGAGGGCCUGAAUGGCUCCCAUGCCAGGAGUAUUAUGCAAACACGGGAGAAAAAACCAUGCCUCCUCUACUGGUCUACAGGAGCACUUGAAAACCUGCUCAUCUGCAAGCAAUGGGGCUCGACUCUACAUCACAGCAGUGGAUACUGCAUCGCCAUCGAGAACCCAAUGACUGAAGGAGAGGUUCUGUCCUGUGCACUUCCCUGGUCCUGUGUAGUCACUAAGCAUCUGAUGCCUGAUCCAGAAGAACAGAGUGACCACCAGCCCAGACUUGGUCACCAAAAGGACUUUCCUAGACUUGGUCACCAACUUCAACUUUCCGAGUUUCCUAUUAAACAGCCUUGGGCAAGCCCCAUGAACCUCUUGUGCAUAUAUUCUUCAUAUGUAAGGGUUGACAGCAGACCCACCUCACAUGGAUAUUGUGAGGGUUAAAGGGAUAACGUAUGGAAAAUAUUUAACCCAGUGCUGGGC